AUACGGAGGGUGCAAGCGUUAUCCGGAUUUAUUGGGUUUAAAGGGUGCGCAGGCGGACCUGUCAGUCAGUGGUGAAAUCCCGGGGCUCAACCCCGGAACUGCCAUUGAUACUACAGGUCUUGAAUACGGUUGAAGUAGGCGGAAUGUAGCAUGUAGCGGCGAAAUGCAUAGAUAUGCUACAGAACACCGAUCGCGAAGGCAGCUUACUAAGCCGAUAUUGACGCUCAGGCACGAAAGCGUGCGGAGCGAACAGGAUUAGAAACCCCUGUAGUCC
rnacentral:rRNA from 1 species